rnacentral:rRNA from 1 species
GGUGGUAAUGCCGGAUGUUCCACAUGAUCGCAUGUGAUUGUGGGAAAGAUUCUAUCGGCGUGGGAUGGGGUCGCGUCCUAUCAGCUUGUUGGUGAGGUAACGGCUCACCAAGGCUUCGACGGGUAGCCGGCCUGAGAGGGCGACCGGCCACAUUGGGACUGAGAUACGGCCCAGACUCCUACGGGAGGCAGCAGUGGGGAAUAUUGCACAAUGGGCGCAAGCCUGAUGCAGCGACGCCGCGUGAGGGAUGGAGGCCUUCGGGUUGUAAACCUCUUUUGUUUGGGAGCAAGCCUUCGGGUGAGUGUACCUUUCGAAUAAGCGCCGGCUAACUACGUGCCAGCAGCCGCGGUAAUACGUAGGGCGCAAGCGUUAUCCGGAUUUAUUGGGCGUAAAGGGCUCGUAGGCGGCUCGUCGCGUCCGGUGUGAAAGUCCAUCGCUUAACGGUGGAUCUGCGCCGGGUACGGGCGGGCUGGAGUGCGGUAGGGGAGACUGGAAUUCCCGGUGUAACGGUGGAAUGUGUAGAUAUCGGGAAAGAACACCA